GACGAACGCUGGCGGCGUGCUUAACACAUGCAAGUCGAACGGAAAGGCCCUGCUUUUGUGGGGUGCUCGAGUGGCGAACGGGUGAGUAACACGUGAGUAACCUGCCCUUGACUUUGGGAUAACUUCAGGAAACUGGGGCUAAUACCGGAUAGGAGCUCCUGCUGCAUGGUGGGGGUUGGAAAGUUUCGGCGGUUGGGGAUGGACUCGCGGCUUAUCAGCUUGUUGGUGGGGUAGUGGCUUACCAAGGCUUUGACGGGUAGCCGGCCUGAGAGGGUGACUGGCCACAUUGGGACUGAGAUACGGCCCAGACUCCUACGGGAGGCAGCAGUGGGGAAUAUUGCACAAUGGGCGGAAGCCUGAUGCAGCAACGCCGCGUGCGGGAUGACGGCCUUCGGGUUGUAAACCGCUUUCGCCUGUGACGAAGCGUGAGUGACGGUAACGGGUAAAGAAGCACCGGCUAACUACGUG
rnacentral:rRNA from 1 species